AGAGUUUGAUCAUGGCUCAGGACGAACGCUGGCGGCGUGCCUAACACAUGCAAGUCGAACGGAGAUAAAGAUUUCGGUUUUUAUCUUAGUGGCGCACGGGUGAGUAACACGUGAAUAACCUGACCCAAAGAGGGGGAUAACACCUGGAAACAGGUGCUAAUACCGCAUAAGACCACAAUGUCGCAUGACGAAGGGGUCAAAGAAAAUCGCUUUGGGAGGGGUUCGCGUCCCAUUAGGUAGUAGGCGGGGUAACGGCCCACCUAGCCGACGAUGGGUAGCCGAGCUGAGAGGCUGAUCGGCCACACUGGAACUGAGACACGGUCCAGACUCCUACGGGAGGCAGCAGUGGGGAAUAUUGGGCAAUGGGCGCAAGCCUGACCCAGCAACGCCGCGUGAGGGAAGAAGGUUUUCGGAUUGUAAACCUCUGUCGCAGAAGACGAAGGAAGUGACGGUAUUCUGUGAGGAAGCCCCGGCUAACUACGUGCCAGCAGCCGCGGUAAUACGUAGGGGGCGAGCGUUGUCCGGAAUUACUGGGCGUAAAGGGAGCGUAGGCGGUCUGGUAAGUUGGAUGUGAAGUACCCGGGCUUAACUUGGGGGGUGCAUCCAAUACUGUUGGACUAGAGUACAGGAGAGGAAAGCGGAAUUCCUAGUGUAGCGGUGAAAUGCAUAGAUAUUAGGAGGAACAUCGGUGGCGAAGGCGGCUUUCUGGACUGCAACUGACGCUGAGGCUCGAAAGCGUGGGGAGCAAACAGGAUUAGAUACCCUGGUAGUCCAUGCCGUAAACGAUGAUUACUAGGUGUUGGGGGAUUGACCCCCUCAGUGCCGCAGUUAACACAAUAAGUAAUCCACCUGGGGAGUACGACCGCAAGGUUGAAACUCAAAGGAAUUGACGGGGGCCCGCACAAGCAGUGGAGUAUGUGGUUUAAUUCGAAGCAACGCGAAGAACCUUACCAGGUCUUGACAUCCGAUGCAUAGCACAGAGAUGUGUGAAAUCCUUCGGGACAUCGAGACAGGUGGUGCAUGGUUGUCGUCAGCUCGUGUCGUGAGAUGUUGGGUUAAGUCCCGCAACGAGCGCAACCCUUAUUGCCAGUUACUACGUUAAGAGGACUCUGGCGAGACUGCCGUUGACAAAACGGAGGAAGGUGGGGAUGACGUCAAAUCAUCAUGCCCUUUAUGACCUGGGCUACACACGUACUACAAUGGCGUUAAACAAAGAGAAGCAAGACCGCGAGGUGGAGCAAAACUCAAAAACAACGUCUCAGUUCAGAUUGCAGGCUGCAACUCGCCUGCAUGAAGUCGGAAUUGCUAGUAAUCGCGGAUCAGCAUGCCGCGGUGAAUACGUUCCCGGGCCUUGUACACACCGCCCGUCACACCAUGAGAGCCGGGGGGACCCGAAGUCGAUAGUCUAACCGCAAGGAGGACGUCGCCGAAGGUAAAACUGGUGAUUGGGGUGAAGUCGUAACAAGGUA
rnacentral:rRNA from 1 species